rnacentral:rRNA from 1 species
UUGAACGCUGGCGGCAGGCCUAACACAUGCAAGUCGAGCGGUAGCACAGAGAGCUUGCUCUCGGGUGACGAGCGGCGGACGGGUGAGUAAUGUCUGGGAAACUGCCUGAUGGAGGGGGAUAACUACUGGAAACGGUAGCUAAUACCGCAUAAUGUCGCAAGACCAAAGUGGGGGACCUUCGGGCCUCAUGCCAUCAGAUGUGCCCAGAUGGGAUUAGCUAGUAGGUGGGGUAACGGCUCACCUAGGCGACGAUCCCUAGCUGGUCUGAGAGGAUGACCAGCCACACUGGAACUGAGACACGGUCCAGACUCCUACGGGAGGCAGCAGUGGGGAAUAUUGCACAAUGGGCGCAAGCCUGAUGCAGCCAUGCCGCGUGUGUGAAGAAGGCCUUCGGGUUGUAAAGCACUUUCAGCGGGGAGGAAGGCGUUAAGGUUAAUAACCUUGGCGAUUGACGUUACCCGCAGAAGAAGCACCGGCUAACUCCGUGCCAGCAGCCGCGGUAAUACGGAGGGUGCAAGCGUUAAUCGGAAUUACUGGGCGUAAAGCGCACGCAGGCGGUCUGUCAAGUCGGAUGUGAAAUCCCCGGGCUCAACCUGGGAACUGCAUUCGAAACUGGCAGGCUAGAGUCUUGUAGAGGGGGGUAGAAUUCCAGGUGUAGCGGUGAAAUGCGUAGAGAUCUGGAGGAAUACCGGUGGCGAAGGCGGCCCCCUGGACAAAGACUGACGCUCAGGUGCGAAAGCGUGGGGAGCAAACAGGAUUAGAUACCCUGGUAGUCCACGCCGUAAACGAUGUCGAUUUGGAGGUUGUGCCCUUGAGGCGUGGCUUCCGGAGCUAACGCGUUAAAUCGACCGCCUGGGCAGUACGGCCGCAAGGUUAAAACUCAAAUGAAUUGACGGGGGCCCGCACAAGCGGUGGAGCAUGUGGUGUAAUACAAUGCAGCGAGGAGAACAUUACCUGGUCUUGACAUCCACAGAACUUUCCAGAGAUGGAUUGGUGCCUUCGGGAACUGUGAGACAGGUGCUGCAUGGCUGUCGUCAGCUCGUGUUGUGAAAUGUUGGGUUAAGUCCCGCAACGAGCGCAACCCUUAUCCUUUGUUGCCAGCGGUCCGGCCGGGAACUCAAAGGAGACUGCCAGUGAUAAACUGGAGGAAGGUGGGGAUGACGUCAAGUCAUCAUGGCCCUUACGACCAGGGCUACACACGUGCUACAAUGGCAUAUACAAAGAGAAGCGACCUCGCGAGAGCAAGCGGACCUCAUAAAGUAUGUCGUAGUCCGGAUUGGAGUCUGCAACUCGACUCCAUGAAGUCGGAAUCGCUAGUAAUCGUAGAUCAGAAUGCUACGGUGAAUACGUUCCCGGGCCUUGUACACACCGCCCGUCACACCAUGGGAGUGGGUUGCAAAAGAAGUAGGUAGCUUAACCUUCGGGAGGGCGCUUACCACUUUGUGAUUCAUGACUGGGGUG